AAUGAAUUGACGGGGGCCCGCACAAGCGGUGGAGCAUGUGGUUUAAUUCGAUGCAACGCGAAGAACCUUACCUGGUCUUGACAUCCACAGAACUUUCCAGAGAUGGAUUGGUGCCUUCGGGAACUGUGAGACAGGUGCUGCAUGGCUGUCGUCAGCUCGUGUUGUGAAAUGUUGGGUUAAGUCCCGCAACGAGCGCAACCCUUAUCCUUUGUU
rnacentral:rRNA from 1 species